rnacentral:rRNA from 1 species
CAUCUCAGUACCCACAGGAAGAGAAAGCAACCGCGAUUCCGUGAGUAGUGGCGAGCGAAAGCGGAAGAGGCUAAACCUCAGUUGUGUGAUACCUGUCAGGGGUUGCAGCUGGGGGGUCGUGGGACUUUUCGGUCAGUGCUGACACGCUGGCAUGGAGUCAGAAAUGCGCGUUGUAGUCGAAGGGCAUUGAAAGGCCCGGCACAGAGGGUGCUACCCCCGUAGACGAAACGAUGCGCACUCCAGAGAAGUAUCCCAAGUAGCACGGGGCCCGAGAAAUCCCGUGUGAAUCUGGCGGGACCACCCGCUAAGCCUAAAUAUUCCCUGGUGACCGAUAGCGGACAAGUACCGUGAGGGAAAGGUGAAAAGUACCCCGGGAGGGGAGUGAAAUAGAUCCUGAAACCGUGUGCCUACAAUCCGUCGGAGCCUCCUUGUGGGGUGACGGCGUGCCUUUUGAAGAAUGAGCCUGCGAGUUAGUGCUCAGUGGCGAGGUUAACCCGUGUGGGGAAGCCGUAGCGAAAGCGAGUCCGAAUAGGGCGUUUUAGUCGCUGGGUCUAGACCCGAAGCGGAGUGAUCUACCCAUGGCCAGGUUGAAGCGACGGUAAGACGUCGUGGAGGACCGAACCCACUUAGGUUGAAAACUGAGGGGAUGAGCUGUGGGUAGGGGUGAAAGGCCAAUCAAACUCCGUGAUAGCUGGUUCUCCCCGAAAUGCAUUUAGGUGCAGCGUCACGUGUUUCUUACCGGAGGUAGAGCUACUGGAUAGCUGAUGGGCCUCACCAGGUUACUGACGUUAGCCAAACUCCGAAUGCCGGUAAGUGAGAGCGUGGCAGUGAGACUGCGGGGGAUAAGCUCCGUAGUCGAGAGGGAAACAGCCCAGACCACCAUCUAAGGUCCCUAAGCGUGUGCUAAGUGGGAAAGGAUGUGGAGUUGCAUUGACAACCAGGAGGUUGGCUUAGAAGCAGCCACCCUUUAAAGAGUGCGUAAUAGCUCACUGGUCAAGUGAUUCCGCGCCGACAAUGUAGCGGGGCUCAAGCACACCACCGAAGCUGUGGCAUUGACACACUGCUCGGCCAGUUUUCCUGCGGGGUUCUGGUCCAGGCGUGUUGAUGGGUAGGGGAGCGUCGUGUGGCCAGGGAAGCGGCGGAGUGAUCCAGCCGUGGAGGCCACACGAGUGAGAAUGCAGGCAUGAGUAGCGAAUGACGGGCGAGAAACCCGUCCGCCGAAUAACCAAGGGUUCCAGGGUCAAGCUAAUCUGCCCUGGGUAAGUCGGGACCUAAGGCGAGGCCGACAGGCGUAGUCGAUGGACAUCCGGUUGAUAUUCCGGAACCGGCGAAGAACCGCCCAUGACGAACCUAGUGAUGCUAAAC